AGUGAACGCUGGCGGUAGGCCUAACACAUGCAAGUCGAACGGCAGCACAGUAAGAGCUUGCUCUUACGGGUGGCGAGUGGCGGACGGUUGAGGAAUACAUCGGAAUCUACUUUUUCGUGGGGGAUAACGUAGGGAAACUUACGCUAAUACCGCAUACGACCUACGUGUGAAAGCUGGGGAUCUUCCGACCUUGCGCGAUUGAAUGAGCCGAUGUCGGAUUAGCUAGUUGGCGGGGUAAAGGCCCACCAAGGCGACGAUCCGUAGCUGGUCUGAGAGGAUGAUCAGCCACACUGGAACUGAGACACGGUCCAGACUCCUACGGGAGGCAGCAGUGGGGAAUAUUGGACAAUGGGCGCAAGCCUGAUCCAGCCAUACCGCGUGGGUGAAGAAGGCCUUCGGGUUGUAAAGCACUUUUGUUGGGAAAGAAAAGCAGCAGGUUAAUACCCCGCUGUUCUGACGGUACCCAAAGAAUAAGCACCGGCUAACUUCGUG
rnacentral:rRNA from 1 species